AACAAAUAAGAACGUUAACUUUGGCUAGUGUUCGUGACUAAGUGGCUUCUAAUAAACACUGGAAAUUUUGAAUACCUUGGGUUGUCCACUUUUUCAAAUGGUAUGCUACAGUGGGGUUAAUUUUUAUUUCUGGGCUGCCAUACCGUGUCAAAGGCAAUCUGGCAAAUUUCAAUUUGCAAAAACAAAAAUUGGCAAAUCUUAUAUUUGACCCUGUAACUUUCCAAAACACAAUAUAACCUGUACAUGAGGGGUACUGUUGUACAAAUGAG